rnacentral:rRNA from 1 species
AUGACGAUCGUACGUACUACGAUGUGGUUGGACGAGAUGGAGAAGCACAAGUUGGAUUCCAAGACAGAUGCUCGUUUUGAACGGGAGAUUGAGGAUCUGGGGAACAGGACAAAUGAGAUGGAAUCCGGCAAGGGAACUGCAGUUAUUUUAGACAAUUUUUUGCUCAGGCUGACCAGAGAUCGAAGACAAGUUCCCAUUUUCCAACCUUGUUCGGUUGAAGAAGAAAAAAAAUCCUUGUUCCAUCCAAUUAUAUUGAGGUAUCACACAUCCACCAACAAUGUUCACCGGAAUGAGGGCUAA